UACGUAGGGUGCAAGCGUUGUCCGGAAUCAUUGGGCGUAAAGCGCGCGUAGGUGGCUUCGUAAGUCCGUUGUGAAAGUCAAAGGCUCAACCUUUGAAUGCCGAUGGAUACUGCGGAGCUAGAGUACGGAAGAGGCGAGUGGAAUUCCUGGUGUAGCGGUGGAAUGCGCAGAUAUCAGGAGGAACACCGGUGGCGAAGGCGGUUCUCUGGGCCUGUACUGACGCUGAGGAGCGAAAGCGUGGGGAGCGAACAGG
rnacentral:rRNA from 1 species